rnacentral:rRNA from 1 species
UACGUAGGGUGCGAGCGUUAAUCGGAAUUACUGGGCGUAAAGCGUGCGCAGGCGGUUCGUUAAGUUCGUUGUGAAAGCCCCGGGCUCAACCUGGGAACUGCAAUGGAAACUGGCGGGCUUGAGUGUGGCAGAGGGGGGUGGAAUUCCGCGUGUAGCAGUGAAAUGCGUAGAGAUGCGGAGAAACACCGAUGGCGAAGGCAGCCCCCUGGGCCAACACUGACGCUCAGGCACGAAAGCGUGGGGAGCAAACAGG